rnacentral:rRNA from 1 species
UACGGAGGGUGCAAGCGUUGCUCGGAAUUAUUGGGCGUGAAGCGUAUGUAGGCGGUUUUCUAAGUCUGAUGUGAAAUCCCCGGGCUCAACCUGGGAACUGCAUUCAAAACUGACAAGCUAGAGUAUGGUAGAGGGUGGUGGAAUUUCCUGUGUAGCGGUGAAAUGCGUAGAUAUAGGAAGGAACACCAGUGGCGAAGGCGGAUCUCUGGGCCUUACCUGACGCUCAGGCACGAAAGCUAGGGGAGCGAACAGG